rfam:Schistosoma mattheei strain Denwood, Zambia genome assembly, scaffold: SMTD_contig0003746
GCACUGCUGAGGAGUCCCAUACUAGGACGAAACGGCCGUCCAGCGC